rnacentral:lncRNA from 1 species
AGACGCGAGGGCAAAGGCCCAGGAGGACUGUGGGGCUCUCGGAAGUAUCCGAUCACCUUGCGAGGAGUCCGCCGGCUGUCCGAGCCUGAUGUCACUGCAACUUCGAUUCCUCCGACGCCCCUACUCUUACUUCCCAGUCUUCAGGCAACUUCUCCGCUUCGGCCUCCCCUAGGCCUUGGCCCCAGAGAGGGGACGCACUCCACAGGUGGAUUCGCACGUGUGGGCCCUCGGCAGCACUUUCUCGUGCAAAUUAACAGGAACCCGAGCCCUGGGAAGGGACAUCAAGGCGCUCCCGAGACUCCGGAGACGGCCAACAGCCCCAAAAGAGAGUACUCGGCUAUCCAGCCGCCCUUAUCCAAGCGGAGAAUCUCUCUCCACCUCCGCCCUCCCGGGACUCAAAGUUGUUUGUGGAGCCUCCAGGUUUCCUUGUAGAUGGGCACGAUAUGCACUGUGUGCGCGCGCGCGCACACACACACACACACACACACACACACACACACACACGUAUAUGUAUUUUUCCAGUGGCCACUGCAGGAUUGCCAGCUUUCGGAAAUGAGCAUCCGCUCUCUCUCUCGGGACUGGGCGUGGGGUUCACCGAAAGGAGAGGAAGAGACCUUGCGUUUGCGCUGGGCCUGCUCGAUGCCAGGCCAUUCUAGGCUUCUGUCUAUCCUGGUUUCUGGUCUGUGCGUUGUGGGUAGCAGCAUUGGCGUAUUACGCCGGAGGGAGCAGGCUGAGCGAGGCUCCAGAAGGUGCGCAAUAGCCGGAGAGGAAAGGGCGAUGCUGUCACCUAGCCCCCUCCCUGAGACUCCAUUCAGCCCAGAAAAAGGAGCUGCUUUCUCCCCCAUCUACCCUAGGAGAAAAUAAACGGUCGCUGGCAUUUUCCUGCGUCUUUUAAUUUUGCCAGAACUGUUUUGGGUUGGCUAUUGUGGGCCAGGAUGGAGGCCUUCUCCUCCCGGGAGCAAACCUGCCCACGCCCAGGCCGGCAGUGGAGUCAGCCUUGCCCCAGCCUGCCCUCCAGGGAAACAAUGCCCCUUUGUCCCUCGCCCUCCCGGGGCUGAUACAGCCCCUCCCCUUAGCUUAGGGCUCCCUCCCGUUAGAGCAUUCCAAUGAUUGCCACAAGUCACACUUUUCUUUGAGGUCUCUGCCUGGGAAGAAAACAAAGCAGCCCUCCUAAUCACACGGAGGGAGUGGAACUUUUCCUGCCCUCUGACUAUGUGCCAGCCUUGGCUCCUCCCUGAAGCCCUGUCUAGAGGGCUUAUUAGGUCACUUAUGUUUUGUACCUCGUGUGAAGUCCCACAAUCAGUAGAUUAUAGAGGGGAGCACAAACCCAGCAGUGUCUGACAUAGAGAAAUUACACAUACAUACAUACACACAUACAUACAUACAUACACACACACACAUACACACA